AACGAACGCUGGCGGCAUGCCUAAUACAUGCAAGUCGAACGAGAUCUUCGGAUCUAGUGGCGCACGGGUGCGUAACGCGUGGGAAUCUGCCCUUGGGUUCGGAAUAACUUCUGGAAACGGAAGCUAAUACCGGAUGAUGACGUAAGUCCAAUGAUUUAUCGCCCAAGGAUGAGCCCGCGUAGGAUUAGCUAGUUGGUGGGGUAAAGGCCCACCAAGGCGACGAUCCUUAGCUGGUCUGAGAGGAUGAUCAGCCACACUGGGACUGAGACACGGCCCAGACUCCUACGGGAGGCAGCAGUAGGGAAUAUUGGACAAUGGGCGAAAGCCUGAUCCAGCAAUGCCGCGUGAGUGAUGAAGGCCUUAGGGUUGUAAAGCUCUUUUACCCGGGAUGAUAAUGACAGUACCGGGAGAAUAAGCUCCGGCUAACUCCGUGCCAGCAGCCGCGGUAAUACGGAGGGAGCUAGCGUUGUUCGGAAUUACUGGGCGUAAAGCGCACGUAGGCGGCUAUUCAAGUCAGAGGUGAAAGCCCGGGGCUCAACCCCGGAACUGCCUUUGAAACUAGAUAGCUUGAAUCCAGGAGAGGUGAGUGGAAUUCCGAGUGUAGAGGUGAAAUUCGUAGAUAUUCGGAAGAACACCAGUGGCGAAGGCGGCUCACUGGACUGGUAUUGACGCUGAGGUGCGAAAGC
rnacentral:rRNA from 1 species